GAGUGGCAGACGGGUGAGUAACGCGUGGGAACAUACCCCCCGGUUCGGAAUAACUCAGGGAAACUUGAGCUAAUACCGGAUACGUCCAAGGUUUUCAUCGACCUUGGAGAAAGAUUUAUCGCCGGAAGAUUGGCCCGCGUCUGAUUAGCUUGUUGGUGAGGUAAUGGCUCACCAAGGCGACGAUCAGUAGCUGGUCUGAGAGGAUGAUCAGCCACAUUGGGACUGAGACACGGCCCAAACUCCUACGGGAGGCAGCAGUGGGGAAUAUUGGACAAUGGGCGAAAGCCUGAUCCAGCCAUGCCGCGUGAGUGAUGAAGGCCUUAGGGUUGUAAAGCUCUUUUACCCGGGAAGAUAAUGACGGUACCGGGAGAAUAAGCCCCGGCUAACUUCGUGCCAGCAGCCGCGGUAAUACGAAGGGGGCUAGCGUUGUUCGGAAUUACUGGGCGUAAAGCGCACGUAGGCGGAUCCUUAAGUCAGGGGUGAAAUCCCGAGGCUCAACCUCGGAACUGCCUUUGAUACUGGGGAUAUCGAGUCCGGGAGAGGUGAGUGGAACUGCGAGUGUAGAGGUGAAAUUCGUAGAUAUUCGCAAGAACACCAGUGGCGAAGGCGGCUCACUGGCCCGGUACUGACGCUGAGGUGCGAAAGCGUGGGGAGCAAACAAGGAUUAGAUACCCUGGGUAAGUCCACGCCCGUAAACGAUGGGAUGCCUAGCCGGUUAGACAGCUUGCUGUUUAGUGGCGCAGUUAACCGCGUUAAGCAUCCCGCCUGGGGAGUUACGGUCGCAAGAUUAAAACUCAAAAGGAAUUGACGGGGGCCCGCACAAGCGGUGGAGCAUGUGGUUUAAUUUGAAGCAACGCGAAGAACCUUACCAGCUCUUGACAUGUAUCGUAUGGGGACCGGAGACGGUUUCCUUCAGUUCGGCUGGCGAGAACUCAGGUGCUGCAUGGCUGUCGUCAGCUCGUGUCGUGAGAUGUUGGGUUAAGUCCCGCAACGAGCGCAACCCUCGCCCUUAGUUGCCAUCAUUCAGUUGGGCACUCUAGGGGGACUGCCGGUGAUAAGCCGAGAGGAAGGUGGGGAUGACGUCAAGUCCUCAUGGCCCUUACGGGCUGGGCUACACACGUGCUACAAUGGCGGUGACAAUGGGAUGCUGAGGGGCGACCCCGAGCAAAUCUCAAAAAGCCGUCUCAGUUCGGAUUGCACUUUGCAACUCGAGUGCAUGAAGGUGGAAUCGCUAGUAAUCGUAGAUCAGAACGCUACGGUGAAUACGUUCCCGGGCCUUGUA
rnacentral:rRNA from 1 species